CUUGGUUCUCGGCCUCAUCGCGGAGGUCCUGGAGCGUGGAUGUGGAAAGGAGACCCGGAGCGACCGAGGCCUGAAAGUGACCAUUCAGGCGCUGCAAAUCCCCUGCGGCCUUCUGGA
rnacentral:SRP_RNA from 12 species